GAUUUUUUUGCACCAGAAAAGGUUACUUACCUGGAGCACACCGGAGAUCCACAUAGGCCGGCUACCUCAAGGCUGGAGCCAUGACAGCUGUCAGCCACUACUUUGAGGCUGCCUGGCCACUUCCGGUGCCGCUGUGCUCACUGGGAGGAAGAGGCGGGUCCUAGAUGGCUGGCGCUUGCGCAGUCGGCUGGUGGAGAGCAAGACCCUGUAUCCGGCGGUGUUGGCGUGUUGUCCGCUGCCGGAGUUAUCCGCUGAUGGCAGCGUUGUCGGUGGCGGUGCUGGCCCGGAGAGUGCGGGAAUGAAGACAUCUUCAUGGAUAUGAAACUGGACACACGAGUUGACGCUGAAGUUCAUCUGCUGGGUUCGGAGGCAGCACGGGUGGGCAGCGGCUCAGCCAUGAGGAAGCCAAGAAGCGGAUGUCUGCCUCCCCUCCUCCCCCGCAGAGGGCACGGAUGUGAAACUAACGCAGGGUGGGCGCUGAAGCUCAGCUGCUGGAUAAUCUUCCAGUUCCGGAGACUGCACGGCUUCUGCUCAACCCCAGCUGGGCCUUCAUCCUGGAGAGGAGCAGUGCCAUCGGACACAUUGCUGGGGAAAGCAGACAUGAGCCUCCUUCAGCACCGGACACAGCCUAGGAUCCUGCUGGGCUCAGGACCUCCCCUCCCAUCUCGAGUCCCACGAGGUCUUCCUCAGGCUGGGUGAGAG
rnacentral:lncRNA from 1 species